AGAGGACAUUUAAACAAACUCUGCUUAUUGCGAAGUCAGGUUAUACAAUUUCUGAUGCAAUGCUAUUAAUUGUUUGUCUCUCUUAUUUUAUUUACUUCACGGUGCGAAUAACUCAAAAUUUAAUUUGUUAUUUUAAUAUCCAGGAGCUAAUGUGGAUAUACAUUUCAUUUCAAAAACUUAGAGGGUUGCUUGGCUUGCAGUUUGAUGUCAUGAUUAUGAAGCUGCAAUUCACCAAUUUAUCCAUUCUCAGGAGGUUUGUGUGUGAUGCAGCUUUCACGUGUUUGGAGCCUUUAGCCUUGCCUGAUCAUGCACGUUUUUUACAGUGUCAGUCCCGUAUUCAUUUCUUGAAGAAGAUGAUGAUUCUGUGAAUAGUUGGUCUUGGUCAUGUCUGUCAAUGGAUGAAGCACGCAGCUCUAUUUGCUUUGGGGUAUUGCUAUCCACUCCACCUGCCUCUGCCCAUUAUGAUGAUAGGUUGCCUCAAACGAUUAAAAUUACAUCAAAUGAGGCAUACAGGAGGCUGUUGGAUGGGUUCCAAUGGUUCAAGUUGUCCUGGCUGCAUUAGGUUUCAUUGUGUUUGGAGGAGGUAGUGCUGAUCCCGGUUCUGGGGAAUUGAUUUGGGCAACUUUUGAAGUUUGGUUCUCAUAUAUUGGUCCUGAAAGAUAUUUGUAUACAAGUGGCCAAUUAAUGUUAGGCUUAUUUGAAAGCCAAGCCCGAUAUGAUUGCCAUUGGCCAUCAUGCAGUUCCAGUACCUUAUGGUUGAGGAAAAGUUAUAUAGAGAUCUAUCCAGAUAUGCUGCCACUGCAAAUGCUCAUGUGCAAAGUUUACUCUCUUUCGCAUUGCACUAUCAUCAUUGUCACUCCAUGAGGUACCAGAGGUUGUCUCUAGUGUAUAGUAUUUCGCUCAAUAGCAAAAUAGUCCAUACAUGUUGGAAUAAAUGCACAGCUCAUACUCCGGUUACUCAUUAGUUGCAUUUUGCACACAAUAUUAGUUGAGGAAAGUGGGGUUUCGAACUCUACCAGAGCAACUGAAGAAAAGUGGUGUUUCAGCUGAUCGAUACCCCCUUGCUCAUUAAUUACUUAUUUGAUUUAAUCUCAUGUGAAUAAGUAUCCAAAAAUUAUUUAUUUGUACUCGUGCUAUGUUUUUGCGUAUUUUAAUUGCAUAUGAUUUACUUGUGACAUUCCUGUUGUUAUGUUUUGUAAAUGUGGUCUUAAUGAAAAGCCAUUUUAUCUACGGGUUUGGUAUAAACGGAUACUUCUUUAUUGUCCUCUUUUUGGUAGUUGGCCUUUUGUAAUUUCUAUAUGAGCUUGCUUCCCUGAAUGUCCAUAUAUUUGGUAGUUAGGCUUAAAUAUUAUCAUCCCUCUUUGAGUCAGACAUCAAUAUAUUGGUGCUUUGCAGGUCAAACCCUAUCUUAUUUUCUCUCCCUCUCCCUCUAUAAAUCUUCGGAUGCUUUAUGUUGAACAAUGGUACAUCACAUAGUUAUCAGAUCUUCUAUCCGCUAAAACCCACGAAUGAUACAACAUGAGGAAAGGAAGCUAUCUGAUAAUCAUAGAAUUAGUUCUGCUAAUCAUGUAUGUUGUUGUUCCUUUUGUUUUACGUCCUCAAAACAUAUUUUUGGUGCUACUGGAUUUUACAAUUGAAAUUCCUGUUUUAGCUCCAAUUGUCUGUUUCUACUUGAUUUGCACUCCCAAGUGAACUCCAACCGGAUGGUUCUUGCUUGGCCUGUGAAGAAUCUGCUUAUUGUGUAUUUCCUUACUUUUUCUUCAAAACACACCAUUGUUGAUUUCCUUUACAUAUCUUUAUUAUUUCUAUCUGUCAUUUGUAUAUCCAUCAUGUUUAGUUAAAGGAUAUUAUUCUCCUUUUAUCCUGCCAUGUUUUAGUCUACAACGUUGUCUGCCACAAGCAAUUGGGUACAAUCAUAUUUAGAUAGGACAUUUAAAUAAACCCUUCUUAUUCUGAAGUCAGUUUAUACCAUUUAUGAUGCAAUGCUAUUAAUUUGUUUGUCUCUCUUAUUUUACUUAUUCACGAUGCAGAUAACUCAAUAUUUAAUUAUUUUAUUUUAGUAUCAUGUGGAUAUACAUUUCAUUCCAAAAACUCAGAGGGCUGAUUCAAUUCCAAACAUGCAGCCAAUUAUUGUUGCUUUAG